CGAACCGUACGAACGUUAUUCGGAAUUACUGGGCUUAAAGGGUGCGUAGGCUGUGCAGAAAGUUGGGUGUGAAAUCCCUUAGCUUAACUGAGGAACUGCGCCCAAAACUACUGCGCUAGAGGAAGACAGGGGUAAGCGGAACUUACGGUGGAGCGGUGAAAUGUGUUGACAUCGUAAGGAACACCGGUGGCGAAGGCGGCUUACUGGGUCUUUUCUGACGCUGAGGCACGAAAGCUAGGGGAGCAAACGGGAUUAGAUACCCCGGUAGUCCUAGCUGUAAACGAUGAGCACUUGAUCGAAGGGGUUCCCAUGCCCUUUUGGUCGUAGCGAAAGUGUUAAGUGCUCCGCCUGGGGAGUAUGGCCGCAAGGCUG
rnacentral:rRNA from 1 species